rnacentral:rRNA from 1 species
AACGAACGCUGGCGGCAUGCCUAACACAUGCAAGUCGAACGAGACCUUCGGGUCUAGUGGCGCACGGGUGCGUAACGCGUGGGAACCUGCCCUUAGGUUCGGAAUAACUCCCCGAAAGGGGUGCUCAUACCGGAUAAUGUCUUCGGACCAAAGAUUUAUCGCCUUUGGAUGGGCCCGCGUUGGAUUAGCUAGUUGGUAGGGUAAAAGCCUACCAAGGCGACGAUCCAUAGCUGGUCUGAGAGGAUGAUCAGCCACACUGGGAAUGAGACACGGCCCAGACUCCUACGGGAGGCAGCAGUGGGGAAUAUUGGACAAGGGGCGAAAGUCUGAUCCAGCAAUGCCGCGUAAGUGAUGAAGGCGUUAGGGUUGUAAAGCUCUUUUACCCGGGAUGAUAAUGACAGUACCGGGAGAAUAAGCUCCGGCUAACUCCGUG